rnacentral:rRNA from 1 species
CCACGAGCGCAACCCNUGUCAUUAGGUGCUACGAAAAGGGCACUCUAAAUGAGACUGCCGGUGACAAACCGAGGAAGGUGGGGAUGACGUCAAGUCCUCAUGGCCCUUAUGGGUAGGGCUUCACACGUCAUACAAUGGUACAUACAGAGGGCCGCCAACCCGCGAGGGGGAGCUAAUCCCAGAAAGUGUAUCGUAGUCCGGAUUGGAGUCUGCAACUCGACUCCAUGAAGUUGGAAUCGCUAGUAAUCGCGGAUCAGCAUGUCGCGGUGAAUACGUUCCCGGGUCUUGUACACACCGCCCGU